rnacentral:rRNA from 1 species
AACGUAGGAGACAAACGUUAUCCGGAGUUACUGGGCGUAAAGGGCGUGUAGGCGGUCUGUUAAGUCUGGCGUGAAAGCUCUCGGCUAAACCGGGAGAGGUCGUUGGAUACUGGCAGACUAGAGGACGGUAGAGGCGUGUGGAAAUCCGGGUGUAGUGGUGUAAUGCGUAGAGAUCCGGAGGAACACCAGAGGCGAAGGCGGCCUACUGGGCUGCACCUGACGCUGAGCCGCGAAAGCCAGGGGAGCGAACGGG